rnacentral:rRNA from 1 species
GAUGAACGCUGGCGGCGUGCUUAACACAUGCAAGUCGAACGGUGAAAGAGAGCUUGCUCUCUGGAUCAGUGGCGAACGGGUGAGUAACACGUGAGCAAUCUGCCCCUGACUCUGGGAUAAGCGCUGGAAACGGCGUCUAAUACCGGAUACGAGCUGCGAAGGCAUCUUCAGCAGCUGGAAAGAACUUCGGUCAGGGAUGAGCUCGCGGCCUAUCAGCUAGUUGGUGAGGUAACGGCUCGCCAAGGCGUCGACGGGUAGCCGGCCUGAGAGGGUGGCCGGCCACACUGGGACUGAGACACGGCCCAGACUCCUACGGGAGGCAGCAGUGGGGAAUAUUGCACAAUGGGCGAAAGCCUGAUGCAGCAACGCCGCGUGAGGGACGACGGCCUUCGGGUUGUAAACCUCUUUUAGCAGGGAAGAAGCGAAAGUGACGGUACCUGCAGAAAAAGCACCGGCUAACUACGUG